CUGCAUUCGAGCUCAAUCUGUUCACAAAUCCCUGGCCACUGCGUAUGCUCUAGCUGCUCCUCGCCUGUAGCAUAACAUCUGACCCCAGGCAGCCUGCCAUCUGCUCGACCCGGAUGCCCAAGCAAAGAGGUCCAUCCAACAACCCCACUAUGAAUAUAGGAGUGCGGUUUGCGCGCAGGGAUCCUCCCUUGCCUUUCGUGGUGACCCAGGUUCUGCCCUGGCAGGUGCACCAUGUGUCCCAAAAGAGGAGGAGCAGCGCAACAGCAGAGUACGAUGGCCCGAGGAGGAACAGCCUAGGAGUGUUCAGAAAGAACUCCGCCUGCAGCAACGGGUGUGCAGCGGCGCCCCUCGGCCUCACCCUGCCCGUGGAGAAAGCUGCAGCCACCAUCCAGAACCAGUUCAGGAAGUACCAGCAGAAGAAGAAGGAGACCAAGUAGAAGCACACCCGCACCACCCGAGCUCUGCAAGACAGACAGACGGACACAAACACACUGGCGGGGGACACAGGACAGACAGACAGACAGACAGACAGACAGACAGACAGACAGACAGACAGACAGACAGACAGACAGACAGACAGACAGACAGACAGACAGACAGACAGACAGACAGACACAAACACAGACAGACAGACAGACAGACAGACAGACAGACAGACAGACAGACAGACAGACAGACAGACAGACAGACAGACAGACAGACAGACAGACAGACAGACAGACAGACAGACAGACAGACAGACAGACAGACAGACAGACAGACAGACAGACAGACAGACAGAGACCUCUCCAAAAUGUAAAGAACAAGAGGACCAAACAUUUCCUCUAACUCUGUUACCUGUGUUGCGCAGCAUGUUAAGUAAAAGCAAAGUAAAUAGUACUGACUGACUUGACAUGUGUCGAACAUUACACACACACACACACACACACACACACACACACACACACACACACACACACACACACACACACACACACACACACACACACACACACACACACACACACACACACACACACACACACACACGUUCAACCACAAAAUGAACGGACUAAAUAUUACACACAUCCCGUCUUAUACUAUGUAACUGAAUAUAUAGACGUAUGUAUGAAUAAUAUGUCCUUUAUAUGCUAAUGGUUAGAGCGUUGGACUAGUAACCGAAAGGUUUCAAGUUCAUAUCCCCGAGCUGACAUCUGUCGUUCUGCCCCUGAACAAGGCAGUUAACCCACUGUUCCUAGGCCGUCAUUGAAAAUAAGAAUUUGUUGUUAACUGACUUGCCUAGUUAAAUUAUUAAAUUAUAGUAUUUGUGAAGUAUUUGUGAAGAUAAUUAUGUGCGAGUGUAUCUUUGCAUGUCUGUGUGUGUGUGUCAGCGAGCAUGUGAGAGCGUGCACAUUGUGCUGUAUGUAAUUACAGUAUGUAUCCUAUUUCAAAGAUGAAUAGAUGGAUUGCUAAUGAAAGAAAAACAUACACUGAACACACUCCAUUAAACUCCUGGGUAAGCCUGGAUUGGCGUUCUUUAUGUUGUUGCACUGCCCUCUAGUGUUGAAGUAAUGAAUUGCUCUAAUUUCACAUGUUGGGUUAUUCCGACCACGUAAUCAAUCAUUCUUGUGAGAUUUUCAAUAAGACUUGCUCGUUUUAGUUCAAAAAGUUUUUGCAUGGCAAAACGCUUUGCCACAUUAUGUACUAAUAAAUACACCCCUUGAUCCAGCGUGAAGGAAAGGAUGGAAAAAAGGAAGAUAUGACUCAUAGAAAGGAUAGCUUUAUUGCACAAGGUGUUGGAGUACUCUUUUUCUGGUUUUGUUUGUUUUCAUAGAAAAGAAAAAAAACGGUAGAGUUAAACAAGCAAUUGCAAAUUGAAGCAAAUUUUCCAUAAAACUUUAAGAACUCUCUCAGUAUUUUUUAAAACGCUUUUCCCCUCACCCCUUUUUCAUAAAUUUGUUUCUCCAUCUUUAUUUUUAUACCCAACAAAUAAUUCAGAGCAUGCAAUGCCGUUUUUCCUCAACAGAAAAAAAAGAAAAGUGAACAAGAAAGAAAAUCAAUAUUUGAAACUCAAUAUUUGAAAUUCUGGAUUUCUUUUGUUGUUGCCCCAUUCAAAAAUCUAAUUCUAAAGCAGUGUCACUAUAAUUCUAUAGUUUUCUUUAACCCUCUCCUGUUUAAAGUUAUAACUUGAAUCAAAGUUAACAUUGUUGCCCUGGUUUCAUUUGGAGAUGUUGAAAACAGUACUUAUUUAUACAAAACACUUUGCUAUGUACAAGAGUCUUUAACAGUGGGGUAGCAAUGCUGUUGGGGCAGGAGGUGCCGGUAGGGGGGAAUCUGAGACCCCCUUGAGACCUGAUAUUAACAUGUGCCCUGGCAAUGGGUCUGUGGUCACAUCCGCUCACACCCAAUCAAAUUGGUCUGGAGUAGACAUUGUGGGUCAAAUCUGAUCACAGGGCACGUUAUUACCAGAUGUAACUGAGAGUGUGAUUGGUCAAAUAGGUGGGGCAAAAGGUCAGGGUAGGGUGGGGAGUUUGAUCCCUGACCCCAUCCAAUAUGCACACGGCUUUUCCUGGGAUUGGUUGGAUCUAGGGGAGUCCCUGAUUUCAAUUGGCUGAACAGGCCUGCCCCUUCACGUGGCACCCCCGUGUCGUCUCAAAGCAAACCGUUUCAAAAGAAUUGCAUAACCAAGGAAGCCAAAACAAAACAAACGGUACCAUAAUAAUAUCAACUGAAAGAAAAGGUUCUAGCGGACACUCUCCUGUCCUGUUCACUGUCUGCAACAGGCGGGGAGGAGCGUGAGUGUUGUCAGUUACGAGCAGUUAUAACAGUUGUAUGUAUGUCCGGAAUAGGAGUGCUGUGCACGGACAUAAUGACAACGGUAAGACACAGAGGUCACUAUGUGCUGUCUUCAUUUAAGUUCAGUCAUGAGACGUCAUGGAGGCUGUCAACAGAACACACCUUGGGAAGGUACAAUGCAACAGGUUACAUUUGUGUCUACCAUUUGCACUCUCUUAAUACCUGCAGUAGGGUCAUACUUCUAAGUUGGCCGUAGAUUUGGGGACGGUCACAAUAAGAAUGUGGGCUGGCACUGUGGCACGGCCCACCACUGUUACCUGAAUCCCCACGUGCCAGGGUUAGUUGUGGCAGGGUUAGUUGUGCCAGGGUUAGUUGUGCCAGGGUUAGGCUCUAAACUGAACUCUACACGGAUGUUGCCUUAGCUUGUGACUCAGUGCUGAAGCUACCGUACCGCUCACUAACUAGUGCUAACUAGUGCUUAUAAAUGGUUAAAGGUUCCCUGAAAUCUUUCUUUUAUCUGUAGGUGAUGUCCCUCCCCCUUUUCUACAGGUACACUUAAAAGAGGGUCUUGCUGACCACAAGGAAUGCACUUUAACCUCACUGACCACAAAAGCCACUCUGACCCCAAAGCUACCCGCAGUGUCGUCUACUCUCCACCAGGGUGGACCACAGAGGCAACUCCAAACCAAAUCGACUACAGGUCUGACGUUAUUAAAACACAUGAACCACACGGGCUGCCAUGGGGUUCACUGACACACAAGCCAUUCUGACACAAGCUUUACAAAAUGCAAAUAGACUGCAUUAGUUUGCAGCCAGCCUCACUGGCUAAGGUACAACCCAUCACUGGCUAAGGUACAACCCAUCACUGGCUAAGGUACAACCCAUCACUGGCUAAGGUACAACCCAUCACUGGCUA
ensembl:lncRNA